rnacentral:rRNA from 1 species
GACGAACGCUGGCGGCGUGCUUAACACAUGCAAGUCGAACGAAGAGCGAUGGAAGCUUGCUUCUAUCAAUCUUAGUGGCGAACGGGUGAGUAACGCGUAAUCAACCUGCCCUUCAGAGGGGGACAACAGUUGGAAACGACUGCUAAUACCGCAUACGAUCUGACCUCGGCAUCGAGGAUAGAUGAAAGGUGGCCUCUAUUUAUAAGCUAUCACUGAAGGAGGGGAUUGCGUCUGAUUAGCUAGUUGGAGGGGUAACGGCCCACCAAGGCGAUGAUCAGUAGCCGGUCUGAGAGGAUGAACGGCCACAUUGGGACUGAGACACGGCCCAGACUCCUACGGGAGGCAGCAGUGGGGAAUCUUCCGCGAUGGACGAAAGUCUGACGGAGCAACGCCGCGUGAGUGAUGACGGCCUUCGGGUUGUAAAGCUCUGUUAAUCGGGACGAAAGGCCUUCUUGCGAAUAGUUAGAAGGAUGACGGUACC